GCAGGCGUUUCCUUGGCGUGGGGCGGAAGCGCGGUCUCCGGCGGCGGCCUGGGAACUCUUAGCUGAGCAGGCGAGAGCAUCAUGGAUACCGACUUAUAUGAUGAGUUUGGGAAUUAUAUUGGACCAGAGCUUGAUUCUGAUGAAGAUGAUGAUGAAUUGGGUAGAGAGACCAAAGAUCUUGAUGAGAUGGAUGAUGAUGACGACGACGAUGACAUAGGAGAUCAUGACGAUGACCACCCCGGGAUGGAGGUGGUGCUGCAUGAGGACAAGAAGUACUACCCAACAGCCGAGGAGGUGUAUGGUCCUGAGGUGGAGACCAUAGUUCAAGAAGAAGACACUCAGCCUCUCACAGAACCCAUUAUUAAGCCAGUGAAAACCAAGAAAUUCACUCUGAUGGAGCAGACAUUACCUGUUACGGUGUAUGAGAUGGAUUUCUUGGCGGAUCUGAUGGAUAACUCAGAGCUCAUCAGAAAUGUGACCCUUUGUGGACAUCUCCACCAUGGCAAGGUAAGACAGAACUUUCAGCUACUUGGAACAGGAUUUCUCUUUUGUGCCUGCUCAUGUGUUAGAGUCACAGCCGUUGAGUUUGAGG
rnacentral:sRNA from 1 species